ACUCACAAUUCUGACUUUUUUUUGGCGCAAUUGAUAUAAACUUUGACCUUUCUCGUAAUUGGGAUGGAAGUAUGCCACGAGUUGAGACCAGAGUCUUCCGUUUCAUCGUCAAAGACAGAGCUUGGAUGGACAUUUUCCGAUGACAAGGAUGGACGAUUUUAUCAUUUUUCUGAGGGAGAGGAACAUUCCAGAAACCACCAUACAAAGGCUGGAGGAGGACAAGAUUGAUGUCAGUGUCCUACUGCUAAUGACUGAUGACCAGAUGAGAAGCUAUUUUCCUUCAUAUGGAGACAGACUGGCAGUUUUGGGAUUUUGUAGGAGGAAAGAAACUGAGCCAACUUGCAGGAAGUCAAAGCUGUUUGAGCGCCUCAAAUCAAAACUUAGCAAAAGACAAAAAAUUGACAAUUCACAAACUGAAAACCAUGCAACUAGAACAAACAUCUCUCAGCGUACUGAAAGAAAAGUUGAGAUUGGGUGGAUGCACUAUGAUGGACAGGGCUUUGUUCAAAUGAGA